ACUCUUCUAGUAUAAAGAAUACAAUCGACUUCCAAUCCUUAGAAUCUGGUCAAAACCCAGAGAAGAGUA
rnacentral:tRNA from 1 species